CUCAGCAUCUCAUCAUAUUGCCUAUAGAUGCAUAAGAUAAGUAUAUGAUGAUAAGUGAUUAAAAAGUUGAGAUUAUGAUGGAUACUUACUUAAUAUAUGGAUCGACUUCCAUGCAGUUUAACAAAAUAUAUAUCUCUGUCUGUCAAAUUUCAGUAUCAGUUAAUACUUGAUGAAUCUUAUAUCCAAAUUCACGAGCGGGA
rnacentral:lncRNA from 1 species